rnacentral:rRNA from 1 species
UACGAAGGGUGCAAGCGUUAAUCGGAAUUACUGGGCGUAAAGCGUGCGUAGGCGGUUUGUUAAGUCUGCUGUGAAAUCCCCGGGCUCAACCUGGGAAUGGCAGUGGAUACUGGCAAGCUAGAGUGUGUCAGAGGGUGGUGGAAUUCCCGGUGUAGCGGUGAAAUGCGUAGAGAUCGGGAGGAACAUCAGUGGCGAAGGCGGCCACCUGGGACAACACUGACGCUGAGGCACGAAAGCGUGGGGAGCAAAC